AUUGAACGCUGGCGGCAUGCUUUACACAUGCGAGUCGAGCGGCAGCGCGGCCUUCGGGCUGGCGGCGAGCGGCGAACGGGUGAGUAAUGCAUCGGAACAUGCCCAGUCGUGGGGGAUAACACUUCGAAAGAAGUGCUAAUACCGCAUACGUCCUGAGGGGGAAAGCGGGGGAUCGCAAGACCUCGCGCGAUUGGAGUGGCCGAUGUCAGAUUAGCUAGUUGGUGGGGUAAAGGCCUACCAAGGCGACGAUCUGUAGCUGGUCUGAGAGGAUGAUCAGCCACACUGGGACUGAGACACGGCCCAGACUCCUACGGGAGGCAGCAGUGGGGAAUUUUGGACAAUGGGGGCAACCCUGAUCCAGCCAUUCCGCGUGAGUGAAGAAGGCCUUCGGGUUGUAAAGCUCUUUCGGCAGGAACGAAACGGUGGGCUCUAACAUAGUCCGCUAAUGACGGUACCUGAAGAAGAAGCACCGGCUAACUACGUG
rnacentral:rRNA from 1 species